rnacentral:rRNA from 1 species
UACGUAGGGAGCAAGCGUUGUCCGGAAUCAUUGGGCGUAAAGCGCGCGUAGGUGGCUUCGUAAGUCCGUUGUGAAAGUCAAAGGCUCAACCUUUGAAAGCCGAUGGAUACUGCGGAGCUAGAGUACGGAAGAGGCGAGUGGAAUUCCUGGUGUAGCGGUGGAAUGCGCAGAUAUCAGGGGGAACACCAAUAGCGAAGGCAGCUCGCUGGGACGUUACUGACACUGAGGCGCGAAAGCGUGGGGAGCGAACAGG